rnacentral:rRNA from 1 species
ACGUAGGGGCCAAGCGUUGUCCGGAUUUAUUGGGCGUAAAGAGCUCGUAGGCGGUUCAGUCAGUCGGGUGUGAAAUCUCCGGGCUUAACUCGGAGGGGCCACCCGAUACUGCUGUGACUUGAGUCCGGUAGGGGAGUGGGGAAUUCCUGGUGUAGCGGUGAAAUGCGCAGAUAUCAGGAGGAACACCGGUGGCGAAGGCGCCACUCUGGGCCGGUACUGACGCUGAGGAGCGAAAGCGUGGGUAGCAAACAGGA